CCCUUAGAUGUUCUGGGCAGCACGCGCGCUACAAUGGUCUUCGCAAACGGAUGCAUUCUCGAAGGAGAAUGCCAAUCUUGGAAUCUAUGCCUUGGUCGGGACAGUUGCUUGCAAUUUUUCGACUCGAACCAGGAAUUCCUUGUAAUCGUGAUUCAUCACAUCACGAUGAAUACGUCCCUGCCCUUUGUACACACCGCCCGUCGCUCCUACCGAUCGAAGAGUUAGGUGAAUUGUUUUGAUCGAUAAGAUUUGACUAUGGUCAACUAUCGUUGUGAAAUUCUGUGAAUCUGACUGUUUAGAGGAAGGAAAAGUCGUAACA
rnacentral:rRNA from 1 species